rnacentral:rRNA from 1 species
GACGAACGCUGGCGGCGUGCUUAACACAUGCAAGUCGAACGGAAAGGCCCUGCUUUUGUGGGGUGCUCGAGUGGCGAACGGGUGAGUAACACGUGAGUAACCUGCCCUUGACUUUGGGAUAACUUCAGGAAACUGGGGCUAAUACCGGAUAGGAGCUCCUGCUGCAUGGUGGGGGUUGGAAAGUUUCGGCGGUUGGGGAUGGACUCGCGGCUUAUCAGCUUGUUGGUGGGGUAGUGGCUUACCAAGGCUUUGACGGGUAGCCGGCCUGAGAGGGCGACCGGCCACAUUGGGACUGGGAUACGGCCCAGACUCCUACGGGGGGCAGCGGUGGGGAAUAUUGCACAAGGGGCGGAAGCCUGAUGCAGCAACGCCGCGUGCGGGAGGACGGCCUUCGGGUGGAAAACCGCUUUCGCCUGUGACGAAGCGUGAGUGACGGUAAUGGGUAAAGAAGCACCGGCUAACUACGG